ensembl:lncRNA
GUCAUCAUCAGUUCAGAAGGCAGGUUCAUUUUAUAGACAUGAGUCUUGAAGUCUGUUACAAAGAGAUCCACUGCCUGAAGUGUGCUGAGGUGCCAGGGUCAUGUGUGCCAUCUGCAUCAUCUGUGCAAAGGGAGAGGUGCUCCAGCCCUCUGAGCAUCUUCGUGGCCCUUCUCUGGACCCAGUCCAAGAGGUCCAUACCCUUCUUACACUGGGCGCCCUCGAGAUGAGCACAAUAUUCCGGACAGGGCCUCAAGAGAACAGAAAUAGAAUUCAGUAAUAAUACGAAAAUCUGAACAGGAAAACUUCCAGGUUAAGUUAAAUAUAUAUAUAUAUAUAUACUGACUUUUGUGUAAGAUUUUGUGAUCGUCCUCAUCUCUUAAAGAAGGGUGGGGGUGCCGAGUUGUGUGUUGGUCAACCAAAGGGCUCCGUCUCUGCUUCCUGUUUAGUCUCAAUGCAGGCCUUGUGCUGGCAGGGCAGAACCAAAACGAGGUGCUAGUGAGCUGAGAGCUAUUGGUUCUGGGUUGCUGGGAGCCCUGAAGGGGUCAAGACUGGGAUUUUGUUUUGUUUGCGCACUCGGGAUAAAGUGCUGGAGUAAUAUCUUGGGCUGUCUUUGUCAGGAGCUUUAGCUGCUGCCUUCCUUAGCGUUUGUGUGGAUAUCUUUCCAACAUUUGGUGCACUGCAAUUAAGUCAGCGUCAGAAGCUGUAAGAUGAAAGAUGAGUGGGAGGGGAGAGAAAAAUAGAGCGAUAACCAAAGGCUGUUGCCAGCAAGAACUAAAGAAACAGCACCAAAUGAUUGGCAAAGUACCCUUUGGCUUCUUUCAUACAGUCCUUCAUCACAAGCAAUAAAGCACCUCUUGAGUUGUUCUUCGCCUACUGGUUGUAAAUCCUAAUGUCUGUGUUCCCAGACCUCACAACAGCCUCUGCUCUCCGGGAGUCCAACUGCUGGGCACGUGGAGCAGACAGAGGAGUCAAAAUGACGAUGGGAAGAGUAGCAAUCACUGAAUUUCUCACUCUCCACCAGGGAAUCUGCUCCAAAGAAGGGGGAGCAGCCACCUUCCCCCCGAACAGAGCAUGUGGAAGUGAUGUCCUCAUUUCUCUUCUGCCUCACCAGGUGAACCCUGAGGCUGAGGGUAAGGGAGGAGAACAGAGGGCCCAGGAGAAUGGCAAAGCUGGCAAAAGCUGGACUGAAUGUCUGCAUAGUUAGCAAAGGACGUGGCCUGGAAAGGGAGACCUCGGUGUCGUGGAGGGCCCUUGCCUGAAUGUGAUGCCUAUAGGCCAUAUUUUAAAACAAAACACUAACACAUUCAGCCUUCCUUGCUUUUGCUCCAAAUCACUGCAGCCGUGAGCUCCACCAGUGCAGACCUCCCUCACGAAAGCCACGGUGAUGUCACGUCCAGCAGCACAGGAGGGGAUCAGAGCGUGCUCCUACCCAUUCAGCACAGCCCCGAGGUAUGUUAUGGGGUAGCGCUCUGCAAUGAGGCAAAGAACUGCGUGAUGUUGGCUCUGAUCAUUUAGUUCCUUCUUUGAGUAUAAAUGUAGGCACGUGUGUCCUUGAGCGACUAUUUUUUGGUUUCUGAUGCAUUUCUUCUUUAAUCCUUAGUGAGUUCCCUUUUUGCUGCAGAGCUAAAGCUUUGGUCGUGGGCUCAUUUGGAAGCUUUGUGCUUUAUUCCUCUUUGUGUUUAUGGAGCAUCAGUG